AUGGAAGCCGUAAUGGAUGCUGUCGAGGUGCAGGUUUUGAGAAACCAAGUAAAUGAAAAAUGUAACCGUCCAAAGCUGAAAGAUGAAGUAUACCGUUUGAACGGAAUAUCAAGAAAUGGGCAACCCUUGAAGAAGCUUCAGGAGAGAGACAUCUACUGUGUAGAAGACUUCCUAAAGGCUAUUUAUAAGGAUAAAGAAAACAUCCGCAAUGAAUGUUUCAACAUAAAGAAGGACAACAAGCGUUGGGAAGCCACAGUUAAACAUGCCAAGGAGUGCGACCUCGAAGGGAAUCACAUGCUGAAAUUAUAUAGGGCUGAUGAGGAAAAUGUUGAGCUCUUCUUUAACUGCAUACAUGAUAUUGUUGGAGCAAAGUUUAAUGGGUGCUAUACCCCAAAUGAAAAUUUUAAUUUGAAUCAGGAGGUUAAAGUGAAUCAAUUGCGAAGACGUGCAUAUGAUGAAGUGGCUGGUAUUGAAUUUAGCCACGAAAUGAAAGAAGGUGGCCCCAUGCCUUUGUCUACAACUACAAACAUAGGUAUUGCUGAUGAGGCAUCUGCUCCCUUGACAGGCAUUGCAGGACUACAUCCUCAAGGUACUCGUGGAAUAAUUUCUGUACCAGGUACAUCAGAACCAAUUAUUCCCGAACCACACGGCGCAAAUGGCUAUGAAGGUAAUCCAGCAAGUGGGCAGAUGGUCCACAAACAAGUUGCUGCUGCUGUUGCUGAUAUAGGGGGCCACUUAUCUGAUAUCCCCCCACCCGAGGGAGCUGAUGGCGGUGAUCACUGGCUAGGAGCAACUCAAAAUACAUGGGACACUGACAACCUUGACGGCGGCUUUCCUGAACUAACUGAUUUCGAACUAGAAAAUCAUGGAUUGUCGGGAAAAAGUUGGCAGUGGCAGGAUUCAAACUACUUCCUGGGUGAUAACUCUAUGGAAGCAUCUACUUCAACUCAAACCAAUUUCAUGCCAGGACAUCCAUUUCAUUAG
rnacentral:rRNA from 1 species